UACGGAAGGCAGCAGUGGGGAAUAUUGCACAAUGGGCGCAAGCCUGAUGCAGCCAUGCCGCGUGUAUGAAAAAGGCCUUCGGGUUGUAAAGUACUUUCAGUCGUGAGGAAGGUGUUAAGGUUAAUAACCUUAGCAAUUGACGUUAGCGACAGAAGAAGCACCGGCUAACUCCGUGCCAGCAGCCGCGGUAAUACGGAGGGUGCGAGCGUUAAUCGGAAUUACUGGGCGUAAAGGGCACGCAGGCGGUUAAUUAAGUUGGAUGUGAAAUCCCCGGGCUUAACCUGGGAAUGGCAUUCAAGACUGGUUAGCUAGAGUCUUGUAGAGGGGGUUAGAAUUCCAUGUGUAGCGGUGAAAUGCGUAGAGAUGUGGAGGAAUACCGGUGGCGAAGGCGGCCCCUGGACAAAGACUGACGCUCAUGUGCGAAAGCUGGGGAGCAAACAGGGAUUAGAUACC
rnacentral:rRNA from 1 species